rnacentral:rRNA from 1 species
UACGGGAGGCAGCAGUAGGGAAUCUUCCGCAAUGGACGAAAGUCUGACGGAGCAACGCCGCGUGAACGAUGAAGGCUUUCGGGUCGUAAAGUUCUGUUGUUAGGGAAGAACAAGUACCAGAGUAACUGCUGGUACCUUGACGGUACCUAACCAGAAAGCCACGGCUAACUACGUGCCAGCAGCCGCGGUAAUACGUAGGUGGCAAGCGUUGUCCGGAAUUAUUGGGCGUAAAGCGCGCGCAGGUGGUCCUUUAAAGUCUGAUGUGAAAGCCCACGGCUCAACCGUGGAGGGUCAUUGGAAACUGGGGACUUGAGUGCAGAAGGGGAAAGUGGAAUUCCACGUGUAGCGGUGAAAUGCGUAGAGAUGUGGAGGAACACCAGUGGCGAAAGGCGACUUUUCUGGUCUGUAAACUGACACUGAGGCGCGAAAGCGU